AGUGGAAUUGUAAGCCACUCAGUUUUAUUAAAAAAAAAUAAGUUGCAUUUUUCUUUGUUUGCAGAAACAAAAAGCACUUGGGCCUGCACAACCCGUGAGCUGCUAACUAUUGUGGGAAUCCCCAUCACCAUCAAACUAAUCAUUGGUACUGCUCUAUUAGUCAAGUUCCUGGCAUUCCCUUCUCACUCAGGUGAAUCACAAACUCUUUGUAAGGUGGAGGGAAGCUGCGGCAGCACAAGCCAGAGGCCUGUUCUGUCCAAAAACCCACUCAAUCAGACCUCAAACAGUACUGCAAGCUGUCCCCUAGUGGUUGGAGACGGGUCGCGAAUAGUUGGUGGGAAUUUGGCGGCAGAGUACGCGUGGGGCUGGCAAGUCAGCAUGCAGUGGAGGGGGAGACACGUUUGCGGUGGGGCCAUCAUCUCGGACCACUGGGUCAUCACUGCCGCUCAUUGCUUUGUUGAGUAAGAGGUGGACGAAUGGGGGUGGGGGAGCAGGAGGAGGGGUUAGAAGGACAAGUGGGCAUUGAAUUGUAGCUCAGUGAAGGUUUCCAUUGUUGAGACGGUGAUGAAACAAGGCUGGACAGAUUUUGCAACUCAGUACUUGAACUUCAGACUUUAUGGGUCUCCAGCUUUGCUUACUCUCGGUUUAAACAAUAAAAAAUUGCCAAAGAAAUUAAUUUCAAAGAAAUAACUUAAAUUAAUUUAGAGUCCCUGAUUUCAUGAUUCAUUAUAGUCCCCAUUUCGAAACUAAACAAUAUCCCUAAUGAGAUGAGAAAGUAUUGUUAUUAUUAAUUAAAUUGCAUUAUAAUUUAAGACAAUGUACAUGAAUGGAAGUGAGAUUUAAUUAACUUUUCAAAAAGUACAUUAAGAGCUUCAUUGUGGCUUUAAAUUAACGGGACUGCAAAGCUGACACAUAGGUUUAGAAAAUAAAACCAUAAGAAACCUGCACAAUGAAAUAAAAAAACCUUAACUUUUGUCU
rnacentral:lncRNA from 1 species